rnacentral:rRNA from 1 species
CAUCCUCCAAGGCUAAAUACUCCUGACUGACCGAUAGUGAACCAGUACCGUGAGGGAAAGGCGAAAAGAACCCCUGUGAGGGGAGUGAAAUAGAACCUGAAACCGUGUACGUACAAGCAGUGGGAGCCCUUCGGGGUGACUGCGUACCUUUUGUAUAAUGGGUCAGCGACUUACAUUUUGUAGCGAGGUUAACCGUAUAGGGGAGCCGUAGGGAAACCGAGUCUUAACUGGGCGUCUAGUUGCAAGGUGUAGACCCGAAACCGGG